rnacentral:rRNA from 1 species
GAUGAACGCUGGCGGCGUGCCUAAUACAUGCAAGUCGAGCGAACAGACGAGGAGCCUGCUCCUCUGACGUUAGCGGCGGACGGGGGAGUAACACGUGGAUAACCUACCUAUAAGACUGGGAUAACUUCGGGAAACCGGAGCUAAUACCGGAUAAUAUAUUGAACCGCAUGGUUCAAUAGUGAAAGACGGUUUUGCUGUCACUUAUAGAUGGAUCCGCGCCGCAUUAGCUAGUUGGUAAGGUAACGGCUUACCAAGGCAACGAUGCGUAGCCGACCUGAGAGGGUGAUCGGCCACACUGGAACUGAGACACGGUCCAGACUCCUACGGGAGGCAGCAGUAGGGAAUCUUCCGCAAUGGGCGAAAGCUUGACGGAGCAACGCCGCGUGAGUGAUGAAGGUCUUCGGAUCGUAAAACUCUGUUAUUAGGGAAGAACAAAUGUGUAAGUAACUAUGCACGUCUUGACGGUACCUAAUCAGAAAGCCACGGCUAACUACGUG